rnacentral:rRNA from 1 species
CGGGAAUCUUCCGCAAUGGACGAAAGUCUGACGGAGCAACGCCGCGUGAGUGAUGAAGGCCUUCGGGUCGUAAAACUCUGUUGUUAGGGAAGAACAAGUAUCGGAGUAACUGCCGGUACCUUGACGGUACCUAACCAGAAAGCCACGGCUAACUACGUGCCAGCAGCCGCGGUAAUACGUAGGUGGCAAGCGUUGUCCGGAAUUAUUGGGCGUAAAGCGCGCGCAGGCGGUCCUUUAAGUCUGAUGUGAAAGCCCACGGCUCAACCGUGGAGGGUCAUUGGAAACUGGGGGACUUGAGUGCAGAAGAGGAAAGCGGAAUUCCACGUGUAGCGGUGAAAUGCGUAGAGAUGUGGAGGAACACCAGUGGCGAAGGCGGCUUUCUGGUCUGUAACUGACGCUGAGGCGCGAAAGCGUGGGGAGCAAAC